rnacentral:lncRNA from 1 species
UGUCAUUUCACGGGGAGAAAACUGGAAGUCCCUGCACAAAAGGAAGGAGCGCUCACACAGGGAGUGGAAAUUUGCACUGGCUACCACAGGAUCGAAUGCUGUGUGAGCUUGGAUGCUCAGGCCCUGAUCUUUCAUUAACGUGCACACCAGGGUCAGUACUAGACAGAAGGUCUGAGAAGGUCUCCUCAUUCCUCACUCUGUACUCCUGCCUGCCCUGCACCCUCAGAGCAAGCGCCAAGGUAGGAGAGGGCAAGCAGCAGUGAGGUAGGUACUUAACCAGUCUCACUCCCAUGGGGAAGACAGGCUUGGGAGAGCUGGAGGUCUGCUCUGCUGAGCUCCUCAAUGCCGUGUGGGGUUGGUGGCUUUGUCAGCUUGGCAGUGGGGGUGUGAUGAGGGGCAGAUUUCUACACUUUUGCAGACAAAGAGAAGUACAACCUUUGGUGCCGCUGGAAAGUCACACUCAGUAGGGGCCUUAGCAUCCUGGAGCAUGAAGACCGAAGACAUUCUGCUAUUAACUCCAGAGAAAACUGUAGAGAGGGGAGUAAAAUGCAGCCCCGAGGCAAAAGGUGAUCUCCUGCAUGAGAUAGCAAUUACUCUCCAUUUACCCCUCUUUCUCUGACAGUCCUGUCACUGUUGGAAUAAAAAAACCUAAAUCACACCUUUAUAAAAGGACAGCUAAGGCUUUCUGAAAACCAUUCUUCAGCACAGGAAAAGUCAACUGCUAUUUUCAGUGCAAUCACUAAUCCCAGAAUUUCUCCUCUGCAGGUCCCCAGCAUACCCUCACAUUUGUCCCUAAGGCAAGGUUAGGCUGAUCAUCAGGGCACCCUCAGGAAGUGGGGUGUGGGAGGCAACUGAGGAAAGAGGGUUCAUUCUCAAACCACACUCUGACAGCAGAUGUACUAACAGAGUGUCUCACAAGAGACACCUCUACUACUUAGAUGGGUCCAUUGUCACCACUGUCAGGUUGCUCACCUCAACACAUGUUGGCCUCGCUCAGGGGAUGUGAAGAGUAAAGCUAGUCACUGCCCUUUUGGCUGUGACCAUCUGUUUUGUUCAAAAAGGGUGUGAUUGGAACUUUGAUGCCAAUUGGAGUUGACUCCAAAUGAGCACCGUAUGAAUUCUAUUUGUGCUGGGGGCAGAGCAUUGAGGAAGGUAGCAUUCAGGUGGUUUCUUGAAAUUGCUUGAUUUGUCACCUACUUGUAUGACCAAUGAACUAGAAGAAAAG